rnacentral:rRNA from 1 species
UAGGGAAUCUUCCACAAUGGGCGAAAGCCUGAUGGAGCAACGCCGCGUGUGUGAUGAAGGCUUUGGUCGUAAAGCACUGUUGUAUGGGAAGAACAGCUAGAAUAGGAAAUGAUUUUAGUUUGACGGUACCAUACCAGAAAGGGACGGCUAAAUACGCGCCAG